UGGGCAACAAGAGUGAAACUCCAUCUCAAAAAAUAAAUAGACAAAUAAAAUAAAAUAAAAGAUUUUUUUUAAAGUUAGCAACUUGUAAAAAUGUUUCAGUAGGAAAGUUCUGUGAUGAGACUGUGAUGCUUGAUGGUCAACAUCAGCUUGUUGGCUUUUACCCCAGAUAAGCCUUUUGACUUUUUACCCCAGAUAACAGCCAUUGACUGUCCACGAUUGUCAUCAUGCAGCUAUAUUUGUCAUAAGCAUCAUGUGCUUGGAUACAUUAUGUCAUAAGCAUAAAUGUCCUAGAGUAAAUUGUACACGAGUUGCAUUAUGUGCUAGAUGUCUAUCCAAAGGAAUACUCUGGCAAUUCAUUUGGCAAAGUAAUAAUUUUGUGUGCAUGUGCAAGUAUAUACCAAUUUAUGCAAUAAAAAUUUUUGAAGUAUGA
rnacentral:lncRNA from 10 species